AUACGUAGGGUGCAAGCGUUAUCCGGAUUUACUGGGUAUAAAGGGUGAGUAGACGGCAAUGCAAGUCAACUGUGAAAACUUAGAGCUUAACUUUAAGACUGCAGUUGAAACUGUAUAGCUAGAGUACAGGAGAGGAAAGCGGAAUUCCUAGUGUAGCGGUGAAAUGCGUAGAUAUUAGGAAGAACACCAGUGGCGAAGGCGGCUUUCUGGACUGAAACUGACGUUGAGGCACGAAAGUGUGGGGAGCAAACAGGAUUAGAUACCCUGGUAGUCCACACUGUAAACGAUGGAUACUAGGUGUAGGCAUGAAUGUGUCUGUGCCGGCGCAAAUGCAAUAAGUAUCCCACCUGGGGAGUACGACCGCAAGGUUAAA
rnacentral:rRNA from 1 species